rnacentral:rRNA from 1 species
ACGGCAGCACGGAGCUUGCUCUGGUGGCGAGUGGCGAACGGGUGAGUAAUAUAUCGGAACGUACCCUGGAGUGGGGGAUAACGUAGCAAAAGUUACGCUAAUACCGCAUACGAUCUAAGGAUGAAAGUGGGGGAUUCGCAAGAACCUCAUGCUCGUGGAGCGGCCGAUAUCUGAUUAGCUAGUUGGUAGGGUAAAAGCCUACCAAGGCAUCGAUCAGUAGCUGGUCUGAGAGGACGACCAGCCACACUGGAACUGAGACACGGUCCAGACUCCUACGGGAGGCAGCAGUGGGGAAUUUUGGACAAUGGGCGCAAGCCUGAUCCAGCAAUGCCGCGUGAGUGAAGAAGGCCUUCGGGUUGUAAAGCUCUUUUGUCAGGGAAGAAACGGUGGGAGCUAAUAUCUCCUGCUAAUGACGGUACCUGAAGAAUAAGCACCGGCUAACUACGUGCCAGCAGCCGCGGUAAUACGUAGGGUGCAAGCGUUAAUCGGAAUUACUGGGCGUAAAGCGUGCGCAGGCGGUUUUGUAAGUCUGAUGUGAAAUCCCCGGGCUCAACCUGGGAAUUGCAUUGGAGACUGCAAGGCUAGAAUCUGGCAGAGGGGGGUAGAAUUCCACGUGUAGCAGUGAAAUGCGUAGAUAUGUGGAGGAACACCGAUGGCGAAAGCAGCCCCCUGGGUCAAGACUGACGCUCAUGCACGAAAGCGUGGGGAGCAAAC